CUGGCUGCGUGCUGGCUCCCAGAAGAGGAACCUGCUGCAGGCGCCGGCGCGGGCGGCGAGGACGACCUGUUUUUCUGACCCAGCCCGGAAGCGCUGGUGCAGGCCUUGAGCUUCCUUUUUUCUUCUCGCUGUGGAAAUUGCCUGGAAAGCUAUGAACUGUUGGUUCUUGAAUCAGUUGGCUGCCCCGGAUGUCUGAAUCCCUUGGAAGGAACCUGGAGGAGUUGGCUGAUGGGCUCCAGGUGCAUGCCAGGCUGUGGAUCUGCCGAGCUUCCUAGUGACCUGGAGUCUGAGCUGCAACUAUGUUCUGUUCUAAUUUCUGUGUCUCUGUAUUCUUUGUAAUUGGGCCACGCUCUUAGACAGCUAGAGCAAUUAAUGACCUUGAGAAAUGAUCCCAGCGCUGAAUGCAGAAUCCUGCUCUUUUGAAGUCAGCCACUUUCUUUGUGGGUCUAAACGUGUUUGUGUUUUCCCCUCUUGGGCAUGUGCCUCCUCCUUCAGCUUUGAUGCUGCCUCUAUAACAACAGGGUUUAGAAUUAUUAAUUCCUCUGCACAGCAAGGUGCAGUGUUAUUAUACAAAAAGGGGAAAAUAUAAUUGCUAUCUUGAGUAAUCAUUUUCUGAAGGCUGAAAGUGUAACCUUUAAUUAAUAUUUCAUCUGCAGCCAGGGUGGGUAACUUGAACAGGGCCUAAAAAUAUUCCUGUCCCAGUGCAUGGAGAAAUCAUGAACUGUGCGACAUGGAGCCAGUGUGUGCUAUUGAAUUGUUGGCAAUUAUUUCUAAAAUUAAAAUGUUUAACCACAUUAACCCAUAAUAAAAUGGGGGGAGAGCUAUAGAGGUGCAACUCUUUACUGAGUAGGAUAAAUGUGCAAAUUCCUGGCAUAAUUUGUCUCAGCCACCUGCAUUGGGAGAGCCAUCUCACCUGCCUGAGAAAUGAAUUUGGGGCCCAGGGGCCUGGUGGGCCAGGAAGUCACUGAUCAAAGCUUGGCUUCCAGGCGGUGGCUGUGUCCACCAGGCACUGUGCGGGCUGGAGUUGGACUUCUACAGGUCACUGGGUUUAAGGGUGGGAUGGGAAGCACUGUCUUUGGUGUUUUCCAGAGCGGGGCACUUGAGAUGUUCAAAGUGCUUCCUGAGAGACGGCCAAAGGGUGUUCCCUGGGUGGCCUGGGAGUCCAAGAGACAUGUACUCUGGGGCAGGAAGAGGGCAGGUGCUACCGGAUCACCCUAACAACCCUCUGGGACCUGUGGCCAUGUGUUCACAACAGCAGCCAUUACAGGUGUUUCCUGAACUCUUGUCGCGAGCCUCUGUCGGCUCCAUCUCAUCGAUCCUCCCAGCAACCCACAAGGAAGCUUCACAGAGAGGCAGAUGCCACACAGGCCACCCACCCAGAUGCAGAGCCAGAUUCCCUGCGUGGACUGGACGGGAGUUUCCCAGCUGGAGUUCUCUCGGCCAAGCUGCCUGUGACAUGGGGUUGGAGGUGCUCCAGAGAGUCAUGGCCACCCCUGGAGGAAGUGACUUGUGGCUGACUGCUCAAGGGGAAGUCCUGUGGCAGUGGAGUCGUCAGCAUUAAUUCAAAUAAGAUCUCUCCCUGCACACAAUCUGCUUUCGUGUUCCUGAUGGAUUGAAUCAAGAGUGAAUGAGCUCCUACUUCGCGAAAGCAAAACAAACUAAACGCAUCAACCACGACCGCAGAGCCCCCAUCUCUCCCAGGAGGGUGAGCCCAUGUUGUGUUUUCAUUUGUCAGAAAUCUAUCUUAGGAAGCCAUUCCUGAGAUCUGUUCUAAUUUAGGCCAUUUUUAAAAAAAAUAAUGCAGUUGAUUCUUUUCCCGUGAUCUUUCUUUUCUCCAUGACUUAAAUUUCCCCAGGAACUAUUCAAAUGCCGCAUCUGGGGUUUUGUUUUUGUUUUUUGAUGAAGUCAUGACUUUCUUUAAACAGUAAUUAUUAAACAAACCAAAGGGAAACCUUCUGUGAGGAUGCUGUUUACAAAUAUCACCACUUUUACAAUCAGUAAUGGAGGUUGCAAAGUGCAGGAUUCUGAGUUCCAGUGAGUCUGGGGAGUUGCUUGAGUCUUCCAAUUGGUUCCUGCCUUGUCCAGAGGGUGGUUUCUCGCAUGGGAAAUGGUCUUCAAUGCCCUUCCCUCCUCCUCCUCUCUCCUAACUCGAUUUUUCCAGGGCUUUCAUGUUUCGCUCCCAUCGCAGGGUCGGGAAUGCCCUGUGCUUGGUGACCAUAGGGUGGUGAAGUCACCCUGCUCUGCUAGAAAAGGGACGAGUGCUGUGUUUUGGGUGGAUGACCAAGGGCUCACUAUCCCGGUGGCUCAUUUCCUGGGGGCCUGUGGGCUGCCGGGAGCACCCUGAGGAGGACAGAGUGGAGUUGCAGCUGCCCAUGCACUGCAGAGGGGACACGGGUGUUGUGCAGCAUCUCGGGAAGGGCGUGGCAGAUGUGGCAGGUGCAUGGCAGGGCCAUUCCAUUCUGUCUGUUGCGGGACCCUCCAUCCAGCUCAGGGCCGUGGAUUGAACAGAGAGACAG
rnacentral:lncRNA from 10 species